GAGGGUAUAACUCAGUGCGGAGAGUGCGUGCUUAGCAUGCAUGAGGUCUUGGGUUCAAUCCCCAGCACCUCCA
rnacentral:tRNA from 1 species